GAUGAACGCUGGCGGCGUGCCUAAUACAUGCAAGUAGAACGCUGAAGGAAGGAGCUUGCUCUUUCCGGAUGAGUUGCGAACGGGUGAGUAACGCGUAGGUAACCUGCCUGGUAGCGGGGGAUAACUAUUGGAAACGAUAGCUAAUACCGCAUAACAGUAGAUGCUGCAUGAUAUCUACUUAAAAGGUGCAAUUGCACCACUACCAGAUGGACCUGCGUUGUAUUAGCUAGUUGGUGAGGUAACGGCUCACCAAGGCGACGAUACAUAGCCGACCUGAGAGGGUGAUCGGCCACACUGGGACUGAGACACGGCCCAGACUCCUACGGGAGGCAGCAGUAGGGAAUCUUCGGCAAUGGACGGAAGUCUGACCGAGCAACGCCGCGUGAGUGAAGAAGGUUUUCGGAUCGUAAAGCUCUGUUGUAAGAGAAGAACGAGUGUGAGAGUGGAAAGUUCACACUGUGACGGUAUCUUACCAGAAAGGGACGGCUAACUACGUG
rnacentral:rRNA from 1 species